rnacentral:rRNA from 1 species
CUUUUAUGGAGAGUUUGAUCCUGGCUCAGGACGAACGCUGGCGGCGUGCCUAAUACAUGCAAGUCGAGCGGAGUUGAUGAGGUGCUUGCACCUCUGAUGCUUAGCGGCGGACGGGUGAGUAACACGUAGGCAACCUGCCUGCAGGACUGGGAUAACAUUCGGAAACGAAUGCUAAUACCGGAUAAUCGAUUUCCUCGCAUGGGGAGAUCGGGAAAGACGGAGCAAUCUGUCACCUGUGGAUGG